CCUGUGAAGCACAUGAAAGGAUAUUACAUGAGAAAGACAGCAGCCAGCAGGUUACUUGCAACUUGGGAAGUGGGGGAGCUUUCUGAUUCUGUUUCACUAACGUGUUCAAACAAGAAUGUUUUUUCCCUUUCAGUAACAAAUUACAAGACCCUGAGAUAAAAGGAAAACAAGUUACAUUCUUCUAAAUCAGCCCACAGAUUCUACUUCUCGGAAUCUAGCGUCUGGACAUACUCUGAAAACCAAGAGUAAUGCAGAGGAAAUAUUUUCACAUGAAACAACAAGUGGUCCAGGAUUUGCUUCAAAAUAAUAUGGAGGAGGUAGAGGACACUAGUUGAAAUCUGUUAAAGCUAGCUGUCUGUUUGGAAGAUCCAUAUAGAGAGCAUCCCACUGCUGUAUAGUCAAGCCCUUCAGAGCCAAGAUUGCCUCAAUCACCAGCAUGUCAGAAAUUGCAUCACCAGUUGCCUGCAAGAUAUGGGAUACAAUAUAAAC